CGCAUUAUAUAAUUAUUUUAUCACCUCAUCUGACCAAAUUGGAUAUCAACAACUUGAAUGAAAAUAUAAUAUAUAUAUAUAUAUAUAUAUAUAUAUAUAUAUAUUAUUCAUUACCUAGUGACAUAGACAUAUAUUUAACACGAGUACAUGUGCAAUAUUUAUUCAUUACCUAGUUAUAUAUGAUUGCCUUUAAACUAUAUCACUUAUACAACAUGUGACUUACCACACGACUGAAUAAAUUAUUUAUUUAUAAAAGGCACAUAGUACAAUAUUUUGCCUUAACAAACUUUGUCAAUUUGAUUUAUUCAUUAUACGGUCAUACUUAUACUGUCUUUUAUUGUUAAGAAUUAUUGAGCAACUAGAUCCACUGAUCAACAUUGUUGCUGAUUAAAGAAGUCUACCAACUUAUAAACUGAUAAGCCACGUGCUCAUGGUGACAAAGAUUCAGUCCGAACGGUGAUCUCUUGUCUGACCGGACACCCACUUGCUCAGACACUCGCUUAUUUGGACACAUAUGUGCCUGGACCCAACUCAAAGACCCUACAUAUAGCCCCGACUUGAUGACCUUACGUAUGGCCCCGACUCAAAGACCCAACUUGCGGACCCGAUCCGCGUACCCAAUAUGCGAACCCGAGAAACGGACUCAAAUCAUGUCGAGAAUCAACUUAUAUUGAGUGUACGUUGACAUAAAGUACAUACUAAUAAGGAACACCACGAGUCGAGCCGCCUCACAGCGAGCAUAACCUCUAGCCGAGUAGCCGAGUAAUGAGCAUCGCCUCUAACUGAGCGACCGCCUCGUCGCGAGCAUAGCCUCUAUCCGAGCAGCAUCACAACGAGCAUCGCCUCUAACCGAGCAGUCUCGCAACGUGUGAUACCUCUAGCCAAGUAUUGCUUUAUGUUGAGCAUUACCUUGUGUUGAGUACUGGUUCAGGACAAUAUCUAGUCACUUCGGCUCACACAUGGACUGGAUUUGAAGUCUCCGGCCAAGUUUCUUGACUGAAGACUUGGGGGACUCUGAUUGGUACCAUAUAUUGGGCAUCGUCUUUGGGCCUCAUUAUUGAGCCCAUAACCCAUGUAAGAGGAGGAAACCCUUACUCUAUAAAAGGGAUCCUUCUCGCCUUCACUAAGGGGAGAAAAACAGAGUCUCACAUCCCUCACAACAAUAGAGAGCAAUACCCUCUCAGCCAAAUAGAGAGCAAAAUGGCAAGGGCUGCAUCCACAGAGAGCUCAUUUGCCGAUUUAUUAUAAUCCAUACAUUCAUACAGUGAAAUGGAAUCAACAUCAGUGUAGACGUAGCCCAAACAUUGGGGUGAAUCACGAUACAUCUUUGUGUUCUUGUGCGUUUGUGUGAUUCACGGUUGGAUUUACGUU
rnacentral:lncRNA from 1 species